rnacentral:rRNA from 1 species
GACGAACGCUGGCGGCGUGCCUAAUACAUGCAAGUAGAACGAGUUGCGAACGGGUGAGUAAAGCGUGGUAACCUGCCUCAUAGCGGGGGAUAACUAUCGGAAACGAUAGCCAAUACCGCAUACUGUGAGAUGGACCUGCGUUGUAUUAGCUAGUUGGGGAGGUAAAGGCUCACAAAGGCGACGAUACAUAGCCGACCUGCUAGGGUGAUCAGCCACACUGGGACUGAGACACGGCCCAGACUCCUACGGGAGGCAGCAGUGGGGAAUAUUGCACAAUGGGCGCAAGCCUGAUGCAGCCAUGCCGCGUGUAUGAAGAAGGCCUUCGGGUUGUAAAGUACUUUCAGCGGGGAGGCGUUACCCGCAGAAGAAGCACCGGCUAACUCCGUGCCAGCAGCGGCGGUAAUAC